GGCUCGGUAGCUUAGUUGGUAAAGCACUUGUCUAGCGAAUAAAGAUCGUGAGUUCAAAUCUCACCUGAGCUG
rnacentral:tRNA from 1 species